rnacentral:rRNA from 1 species
UACGUAUGGAGCAAGCGUUAUCCGGAUUUACUGGGUGUAAAGGGAGCGUAGACGGCCAGACAAGUCUGAAGUGAAAAUCCAGCGCUUAACGUUGGAAGUGCUUUGGAAACUGCCGGGCUAGAGUGCAGGAGGGGCAGGCGGAAUUCCUAGUGUAGCGGUGAAAUGCGUAGAUAUUAGGAGGAACACCAGUGGCGAAGGCGGCCUGCUGGACUGCAACUGACGUUGAGGCUCGAAGGCGUGGGGAGCAAACAGG